UGUGAAACUGCAGGACACAUGAACAUCGAUAAGUUGAACGCAUAUUGCGCAUCGAGAGUUAAUGCUCGAUGCACAUAUCUUUGAGAGUCCAUAGUUGCAUACAUUAAACUACGUGCGCUUGCUUGAUGAGCACACGUGCCGGUUGGGGUGGACGUCGCAAGGCGGUUAUCCUGAAAACCUUCGAGAGUGUUCACCGUUCCUAUGGGUACUCGUUACCAGUGGGCAGCGGUGGCCAGCACCUCACCUCUUUCCAAUGAGCGUAGAGAAGUGCUCGGUCGCAUGCGCUGCUCACGACGGGACCCUGGAACGGAGAUCCCCUUCUUCGAACUUCUUGCUUCUAAGCGCUCCUUCGGUGGAGUACAUGGACCUCAAAUGAUGUGUGACUACCCCCUAAAUUUAAGCAU
rnacentral:rRNA from 1 species